AGAGUUUGAUUAUGGCUCAGGAUGAACGCUAGCUACAGGCUUAACACAUGCAAGUCGAGGGGCAGCACGGGAGUAGCAAUACAACUGGUGGCGACCGGCGCACGGGUGAGUAACGCGUAUGCAACCUACCUAUCAGAGGGGAAUAACCCGGCGAAAGUCGGACUAAUACCGCAUAAAACAGGGGCACCGCAUGGUGAUAUUUGUUAAAGAAAUUCGCUGAUAGAUGGGCAUGCGUUCCAUUAGGUAGUUGGUGAGGUAACGGCUCACCAAGCCGACGAUGGAUAGGGGAACUGAGAGGUUGGUCCCCCACACUGGUACUGAGACACGGACCAGACUCCUACGGGAGGCAGCAGUGAGGAAUAUUGGUCAAUGGGCGAGAGCCUGAACCAGCCAAGUCCGCGCGAAGGAAGAAGGAUCUAUGGUUCGUAAACUUCUUUUGCAGGGGAAUAAAGUGCGGGACGUGUCCUGUUUUGUAUGUACCCUGAGAAUAAGGAUCGGCUAACUCCGUGCCAGCCGCCGC
rnacentral:rRNA from 1 species